rnacentral:sRNA from 1 species
CACGAUGCGAGCUUGCUCGCAGGAGCGCAUGAGCAUAGGACGGGCAAGCCGACAUGAGCAAAGAAGCUGUGCGUAGCAGAGCGAUUUGCGAAUGCGGAUGGCGAUUGUGAGAGUGCGCAGCACGGAACAAUCGAU